GGGUGGGGGUGGGGGGGCGGGGGGGGGGGGGGCGAAGCUGAAAAAUGGCUCUCCCUGAAUGCAAUUAGGAGGGGGAGUGCCCCAGGGUUAACGACGCUUCCAAGAUGGACGUUUUAUUUGCAAAUAAAUGAUUGCCGCCGUGCGAUGACCUUGGGUAGCGAUCGCCCUGCUCUGCUGCAGCUGGUGCUGGGGGGGGGACACACACACACAACGUGGUGCUGGUGGGGCACCCGGUUGGCACGGCGUGGCCGGAGCUCCUUACGGAGGAGGAGGUGGCACCGAUGGGCACGGUGCUGGGUCCUUGCGGAGGAGGAGGUGGCACGGUGCUGGGUCCUUGCCUGGGAAGAGGUGGCAUGAAUCGGCACAGUGCUGGGUCCUUGAAGAGGAGGAGGUGGCACCGAUGGGCACAGUGGCACAGCGUUGGGUCCUUGCAGAGGAGGAGGUGGCACCGAUGGGCACGGAUGGGCACAGUGCUUGGUCCUUGCCCAGGAGGAGGUGGCACUGAUGGGCACGGUGGCACGGUGCUGGGUCCUUGAAGAGGAGGAGGUGGCAUGGAUGGGUAUGGUGGCACGGUGCUGGGUCCUUGCAAAGGAGGAGGUGGCACUGAUGGGCACAGUGCUGGGUCCUUGCCCAGGAAGAGGUGGCACCGAUGGGCACGGAUGGGCACAGUGCUGGGUCCUUGAAGAGGAGGAGGUGGCAUGGAUGGGUAUGGUGGCACGGUGCUGGGUCCUUGCAAAGGAGGAGGUGGCACCGAUGGGCACGGUGCUGGGUCCUUGCCCAGGAAGAGGUGGCACCGAAGGGCAUGGUGGCAUGGUGCUGGGUCCUUUUGGAGGAGGAGGUGGCACCGAUGGGCACGGUGCUGGGUCCUUGCCUAGGAAGAGGUGGCACCGAUGGGCAUGGUGGCACGGUGCUGGGUCCUUGUGGAGGAGGAGGUGGCACGGAUGGGCACAGUGCUGGGUCCUUGCCCAGGAAGAGGUGGCACUGAUGGGCACGGUGGCACGGUGCUGGGUCCUUGCAGAGGAGGAGGUGGCACUGAUGGGCACGGUGGCACGGUGCUGGGUCCUUGCGGAGGAGGCGAUGGCACAGACGCCAUCCCACCCCGGCUGCCGGUGGGAGGCCAUGGCCAAGCCUCGGCGCUGGGAGCUGCUGGUGAAUCACCGGGAUGUUAAACAGCUCGGCGUGGCUCUGGCAGGCAGCUCGCCGGCGGGCACAGCGGGCGGCACGCGCCGCCUCCCUCUCCCCGAGCGCCUGAAAACCACCCGUUGUUCCUUGGGGUGACGGGAUUUGGGGAUGCCGGGUGGGGAGAGGGAGCAUCCCCCUCCUUCCUCGCCCUGCCGGGGGCAGAGGGAACGGGAUGGGGGAUGCAGGAGCGGUCAGACACCUUCUCUCCUUCCCUCCCU